CCUACGGGUGGCAGCAGUGAGGAAUAUUGGUCAAUGGGCGCGAGCCUGAACCAGCCAAGUAGCGUGAAGGAUGACUGCCCUACGGGUUGUAAACUUCUUUUAUAAAGGAAUAAAGUGAGGCACGUGUGCCUUUUUGCAUGUACUUUAUGAAUAAGGACCGGCUAAUUCCGUGCCAGCAGCCGCGGUAAUACGGAGGAUCCGAGCGUUAUCCGGAUUUAUUGGGUUUAAAGGGAGCGUAGAUGGGUUGUUAAGUCAGUUGUGAAAGUUUGCGGCUCAACCGUAAAAUUGCGAUUGAUACUGGCGGUCUUGAGUACAGUGGAGGUAGGCGGAAUUCGUGGUGUAGCAGUGAAAUGCUUAGAUAGCACGAAGAACUCCGAUUGCGAAGGCAGCUUACUAAACUGCCACUGACGUUGAUGCUCGAAAGUGUGGGUAUCAAACAGGAUUAGAUACCCUAGUAGUC
rnacentral:rRNA from 1 species